rnacentral:rRNA from 1 species
CAGUAGCCGCGGUAAUACGAAGGGUGCAAGCGUUAAUCGGAAUUACUGGGCGUAAAGCGUGCGUAGGCGGUUUGUUAAGUCUGUUGUGAAAUCCCCGGGCUCAACCUGGGAAUGGCAAUGGAUACUGGCGAGCUAGAGUGUGUCAGAGGAUGGUGGAAUUCCCGGUGUAGCGGUGAAAUGCGUAGAGAUCGGGAGGAACAUCAGUGGCGAAGGCGGCCAUCUGGGACAACACUGACGCUGAGGCACGAAAGCGUGGGGAGCAAACAGGAUUAGAUACCCGUGUAGUCCCUGUCUCUUAUAC